UACGUAGGGGGCGAGCGUUGUCCGAAGUUACUGGGCGUAAAGCGCGCGUAGGCGGACCUGCAAGUCGGGGGUGAAAGCCCGAGGCUCAACCUCGGAACUGCCUUCGAUACUGCGGGUCUCGAGUCCGGGAGAGGUGAGUGGAAUUCCUAGUGUAGAGGUGAAAUUCGUAGAUAUUAGGAAGAACACCAGUGGCGAAGGCGGCUCACUGGCCCGGUACUGACGCUGAGGCGCGAAAGCGUGGGGAGCAAACAGG
rnacentral:rRNA from 1 species